UACUGUCAGACGAACACCGGUUUCCGUACGAUCACCGAAGUUAAGCAAUGCCGAGCCUGGUCAGUCCGUAGAUGAGUGACCGCUUGGAAAUACCAGAUGC